UUUAGUUGAUUUCAGUGGUUUCCAGAGUAGGUGUUAUGGGGUCAUUCAAAAGUAGUCUGAAAUUUGUCUCGUUCUGCCUCAGCUCUCAAGCUAGAUUUAACUGAGAAUGAAGAUCUCUUCUCUGAAGACUUCCUGAAUGUACAUAUGAGAGCUAGCUGCAUGCUUCUGACACCAUCACUUGAAGAGCUUGCAGUUUCUUCUGCAGGUACAAACAAGUCAGAAGUUUGUAGUUGCAGUGCCAUACCUGGAAUUCAUAAAGCAACAUCAGUGCUCAGGGUGAGGUUGAAAAGUGAUCCAGAAGAAUGUGCUGCCAGUCUGCAUUAAGAGGCUCCAGGAGUUCUCUGAAACAGUUCCCACAGUUGAUGAAAGUGAGAAACAUCCUUCAGGCAACAAUGUUGUACUAGAGAUUUCUGACAGCGUCCUUGAGCUCUAUCGCUUGAGAUGUCAGCCAUGUGUAUGCCUGUGGUGUGAGGCCUCAGAACAUCAGGACAUUGAGGCUCCUUGAAUACUUGAAAUGUGACCCUGUUAGUAAACCACUGAUCCAGUUAGUUACGUGAUAAGGGAAAAGUAUUGGUAGAAUCUAGUAAUCCAGAACUCUUUGUAGUGUUGAUCUCU